UGCAUAUUUUGCCCUGGCGGAGCUCGACCGCCGGUCCAGGACAUGAUCGCGUUUAUCGACGAUCACCGUGACGCCUAUGGGGUCGAGCCGAUCUGCAGGGUUCUGCCGAUCGCCCCA
rnacentral:ncRNA from 1 species